rnacentral:rRNA from 1 species
AGAUUAAGUUAUUAAGGGCGCACGGUGGAUGCCUUGGCACUAGAAGCCGAUGAAGGACGUUACUAACGACGAUAUGCUUUGGGGAGCUGUAAGUAAGCUUUGAUCCAGAGAUUUCCGAAUGGGGAAACCCAGCAUGAGUUAUGUCAUGUUAUCGAUAUGUGAAUACAUAGCAUAUCAGAAGGCACACCCGGAGAACUGAAACAUCUUAGUACCCGGAGGAAGAGAAAGAAAAUUCGAUUCCCUUAGUAGCGGCGAGCGAAACGGGAAGAGCCCAAACCAAAAAGCUUGCUUGUUGGGGUUGUAGGACACUCUAUACGGAGUUACAAAGGACGACAUUAGACGAAUCAUCUGGAAAGAUGAAUCAAAGAAGGUAAUAAUCCUGUAGUCGAAAAUGUUGUCUCUCUUGAGUGGAUCCUGAGUACGACGGAGCACGUGAAAUUCCGUCGGAAUCUGGGAGGACCAUCUCCUAAGGCUAAAUACUCUCUAGUGACCGAUAGUGAACCAGUACCGUGAGGGAAAGGUGAAAAGCACCCCGGAAGGAGAGUGAAAUAGAACCUGAAACCGUGUGCUUACAAGUAGUCAGAGCCCGUUAAUGGGUGAUGGCGUGCCUUUUGUAGAAUGAACCGGCGAGUUACGAUUUGAUGCAAGGUUAAGCAGUAAAUGUGGA